rnacentral:rRNA from 1 species
UACCUACGGGGGGCUGCAGUGAGGAAUAUUGCGCAAUGGGAGAAAUCCUGACGCAGCAACGCCGCGUGAGUGACGAAGGCCUUCGGGUUGUAAAGCUCUGUUGAGGGGGAAGAAUUCUGACGGUACCCCUCGAGGAAGCACCGGCUAACUCCGUGCCAGCAGCCGCGGUAAUACGGAGGGUGCAAGCGUUGUUCGGAAUCACUGGGCGUAAAGCGGGUGUAGGCGGUUUAUUAAGUCAGAUGUGAAAGCCCAAGGCUUAACCAUGGAAGUGCAUCUGAAACUGAUAGACUAGAGUUCUAGAGAGGAAAGUGGAAUUCCUGGUGUAGGAGUGAAAUCCGUAGAUAUCAGGAGGAAUACCAGUGGCGAAGGCGACUUUCUGGAUAGAUACUGACGCUAAGACCCGAAAGCGUGGGGAGCAAACAGGAUUAGAUACCCCGGUAGUCU